GGCCAGAUGGCGGAAUGGUAAUGCAUGCGAGAUGAAUACAGACACCUAUAACGUUUCCUUGCAAGGUCUCUGUUCAAUUCAGAGUCUGGCCA